GGCGGCGUGCCUAACACAUGCAAGUCGAGCGAGAAAGCUCCUUCGGGAGUAAGUAAAGCGGCGAACGGGUGAGUAAUACAUCGGAACGUGCCCGAUCGUGGGGGAUAACGAAGCGAAAGCUUUGCUAAUACCGCAUACGAUCUACGGAUGAAAGCAGGGGACCGCAAGGCCUUGCGCGAACGGAGCGGCCGAUGGCAGAUUAGGUAGUUGGUGGGAUAAAAGCUUACCAAGCCGACGAUCUGUAGCUGGUCUGAGAGGACGACCAGCCACACUGGGACUGAGACACGGCCCAGACUCCUACGGGAGGCAGCAGUGGGGAAUUUUGGACAAUGGGGGCAACCCUGAUCCAGCAAUGCCGCGUGCAGGAAGAAGGCCUUCGGGUUGUAAACUGCUUUUGUCAGGGAAGAAAUCCUGUGGGUUAAUACCUCGUGGGGAUGACGGUACCUGAAGAAUAAGCACCGGCUAACUACGUGCCAGCAGCCGCGGUA
rnacentral:rRNA from 1 species